rfam:Octopus bimaculoides Scaffold351381_contig_43, whole genome shotgun sequence.
AGCUUUGCGCAAAGGCAGUAACAUGGCCAAUGAUGUAAAGCCGAGGCGUGGUUAUUGCUAAGUGAAAUCAUUAUUAUUAUUAUUGUUGUUGUUGUUGUCGCUGUUGCUAUCAUUAUUAUUAUUAUUACUAUUA